rnacentral:rRNA from 1 species
GGGGUUGGGACUGGGCGCAGCCUGAUGCAGCGACGCCGCGUGGGGGAUGAAGGCCUUCGGGUUGUAAACCCCUUUCGACGGGGACGAAGAUGACGGUACCCGGCGAAGAAGCACCGGCUAACUCCGUGCCAUGAGCCGCGGUAAGACGGAGGGUGCUAGGGUUGUUCUGAAUCGCUGGGCGUAAAGGGCGCGUAGGCGGGUGGCGUGUCGGCUGUUUGUGCCCGGGGCUGCUCCCGGAGGUGACUCCGAAACUGAUGUGCUGAAGGCAGGAAAAGGAGGGAGAAAUGCCUUCGGGGUGGGGGAAUUUCAUGCACAUAGGUUGGAACGCCCGUGGGUAAAGCGGGUCUCUGUCCGGGACCUGACUCUAACUGAGGAAACCAAGCGGGGCGAACAGGAUUGA